CCCUUAGAUGUUCUGGGCCGCACGCGCGCUACACUGAUGCGUUCAACAAGUAUACAACCUUCAUCGAUAGAUGUGGGUAAUCUUUUGAAUGCGCAUCGUGAUUGGGAUAGAUGAUUGCAAUUUUUCAUCUUCAACGAGGAAUACCUAGUAAACGCAAGUCAUCAACUUGCAUUGAUUACGUCCCUGCCCUUUGUACACACCGCCCGUCGCUCCUACCGAUUGAAUGCUCAGGUGAGCCAUUCGGACUUUCAUCAUGCUGGUUUCCAGUUUUGAUGAAGGAAAGUCUUGCGAACCUUAUCAUUUAGAGGAAGGAGAAGUCGUAACA
rnacentral:rRNA from 1 species